rnacentral:rRNA from 1 species
AGUGAACGCUGGCGGUAGGCCUAACACAUGCAAGUCGAACGGCAGCACAGUAAGAGCUUGCUCUUACGGGUGGCGAGUGGCGGACGGGUGAGGAAUACAUCGGAAUCUACUUUUUCGUGGGGGAUAACGUAGGGAAACUUACGCUAAUACCGCAUACGACCUACGGGUGAAAGCAGGGGAUCUUCGGACCUUGCGCGAUUGAAUGAGCCGAUGUCGGAUUAGCUAGUUGGCGGGGUAAAGGCCCACCAAGGCGACGAUCCGUAGCUGGUCUGAGAGGAUGAUCAGCCACACUGGAACUGAGACACGGUCCAGACUCCUACGGGAGGCCGCAGUGGGGAAUAUUGGACAAUGGGCGCAAGCCUGAUCCAGCCAUACCGCGUGGGUGAAGAAGGCCUUCGGGUUGUAAAGCCCUUUUGUUGGGAAAGAAAAGCAGCAGGUUAAUACCACGCUGUUCUGACGGUACCCAAAGAAUAAGCACCGGCUAACUUCGUG